CUUCACGGAGCCCAGCCACAGCGGCCGAUCCGCCGGCCGGUCCUGGCCGUAGGUGGCCAGCAAAGCCUGCGCCUC
rnacentral:antisense_RNA from 2 species